ACCACGGCUCUUUUAAGAGCCACCCACAAACCUCUAAAGAGCGUU
rfam:Oreochromis niloticus linkage group LG14, whole genome shotgun sequence.